rnacentral:rRNA from 1 species
UUGAGCCGGAGCGCCAGCUUCGGUGGAGGCAUUGGUGGGAUACUACCCUGGCUGUAUUGAAAUUCUAACCCGCGCCCCUGAUCGGGGCGGGAGACAGUGUCAGGCGGGCAGUUUGACUGGGGCGGUCGCCUCCUAAAAAGUAACGGAGGCGCCCAAAGGUUCCCUCAGAAUGGUUGGAAAUCAUUCGCAGAGUGUAAAGGCACAAGGGAGCUUGACUGCGAGACCUACAAGUCGAGCAGGGACGAAAGUCGGGCUUAGUGAUCCGGUGGUUCCGCAUGGAAGGGCCAUCGCUCAACGGAUAAAAGCUACCCCGGGGAUAACAGGCUUAUCUCCCCCAAGAGUCCACAUCGACGGGGAGGUUUGGCACCUCGAUGUCGGCUCAUCGCAUCCUGGGGCUGUAGUCGGUCCCAAGGGUUGGGCUGUUCGCCCAUUAAAGCGGUACGCGAGCUGGGUUCAGAACGUCGUGAGACAGUUCGGUCCCUAUCCGUCGUGGGCGCAGGAAAUUUGAGAGGAGCUGUCCUUAGUACGAGAGGACCGGGAUGGACGCACCGCUGGUGUACCAGUUGUCUUGCCAAAGGCAUCGCUGGGUAGCUAUGUGCGGAAGGGAUAAGUGCUGAAAGCAUCUAAGCAUGAAGCCCCCCUCGAGAUGAGAUUUCCCAUAGCGUCAAGCUAGUAAGAUCCCUGAAAGAUGAUCAGGUUGAUAGGUCUGAGGUGGAAGCGUGGUGACACGUGGAGCUGACAGAUACUAAUAGAUCGAGGACUUAACCAC